CUAACACUCCUACGGGAGGCAGCAGUGGGGAAUCUUGCGCAAUGGGCGAAAGCCUGACGCAGCCAUGCCGCGUGAAUGAUGAAGGUCUUAGGAUUGUAAAAUUCUUUCACCGGGGACGAUAAUGACGGUACCCCGGAGAAGAAGCCCCGGCUAACUUCGUGCCAGCAGCCGCGGUAAUACGAAGGGGGCUAGCGUUGCUCGGAAUUACUGGGCGUAAAGGGAGCGUAGGCGGACAUUUAAGUCAGGGGUGAAAUCCCGGGGCUCAACCUCGGAAUUGCCUUUGAUACUGGAUGUCUUGAGUGUGAGAGAGGUAUGUGGAACUCCGAGUGUAGAGGUGAAAUUCGUAGAUAUUCGGAAGAACACCAGUGGCGAAGGCGACAUACUGGCUCAUUACUGACGCUGAGGCUCGAAAGCGUGGGGAGCAAACAGGAUUAGAUACCCUGGUAG
rnacentral:rRNA from 1 species